CCUACGGGGGGCUGCAGUGGGGAAUCUUCCGCAAUGGACGAAAGUCUGACGGAGCAACGCCGCGUGAGUGAUGACGGCCUUCGGGGUGUAAAGCUCUGUUAAUCGGGACGAAAGGCCUUCUUGCGAAUAGUUCGAAGGAUUGACGGUACCGGAAUAGAAAGCCACGGCUAACUACGUGCCAGCAGCCGCGGUAAUACGUAGGUGGCAAGCGUUGUCCGGAAUUAUUGGGCGUAAAGCGCGCGCAGGCGGAUUGGUCAGUCUGUCUUAAAAGUUCGGGGCUUAACCCCGUGAUGGGAUGGAAACUGCCAAUCUAGAGUAUCGGAGAGGAAAGUGGAAUUCCUAGUGUAGCGGUGAAAUGCGUAGAUAUUAGGAAGAACACCAGUGGCGAAGGCGACUUUCUGGACGAAAACUGACGCUGAGGCGCGAAAGCCAGGGGAGCGAACGGGAUUAGAUACCCUUGUAGUC
rnacentral:rRNA from 1 species